ACCUGGGUAGCUCAGUCGGUUGAGCAUCCGACUUCGGCUCAGGUCAUGAUGUCGUGAGUUCAAGCCCCACUUCGGGCU
rnacentral:tRNA from 1 species